UAGUGGAUUUGUCGGGGAUCUCAGAAAGAUCUUAUUGAACCCUUAUAUAUAGAGAGAGAGAGUAACACUAUUUUAAUUCUAGAAUAAUUAUUCGGCACGAUCGGGCCUAUAAGAAGGCGCGGAGAUGUUCCUGGAUCUGAAAAAGCCAGCCCGCCCGAACUUCCCGUAAAAGAAAAAAAAAUCCCUCGGCGCCCACCUUAUCCACUCCCCCUGCGUCCUCCCACGAUCCUCCCCGGCCAACCUCCCGCCGCCGUCUCCCUGGCUCCGGCGCACCUCCCGCCGCUAGCCCCACGACCCCGGCGUGCUUCCCGCCGCUGCAUCCCUCGGCCCCGGUGCGCCCCCGCCGCCGCCCACCCUGGCUGUGACGCGCCUUCGCCACUACUUCGCCCACCCUGGCCCCGACGCGCCUCCAUCCGCCGCCCCCCGACGCGCCUCCCGCCGCCGCCCUUCCGGUCCCGAUGCGCCUCCUGCUGCCUCCCUCCACCUGCUUCGACGACGGCGCCGGCCACCUCCACCUUCUUCCACCUGCAGCCACCGGCCUCCUACCACAGCAAGCGACCGCCGCGGCCAUCCUCCACCUGUCGCUGUAGCCUUCCUAUCCGACCGCCUCCACGACACGCUGGCCUUCGUCUACCUCUGGCUCCGCUGCUGCCCAAGAUCGUGCUAUUCGUCAAUUGAACGCCAGUGAUGAUGCAUUGAUACAUCUGUCGACAUGAACCUGCUGGUGCUGGUUUCUUGCAUAGCUCGUGCUUAAAUAAGUGGUUUAUCUUCAGCUGUGUAGUUUAAAUAAGAGAGGAGCAAGUCCGCUUGAUCAAUCUAGAAAAGUGGAAGUCACUGUAAUCAACCAACUAGAUUUGUUUCUAGUUGGGAGGUUGAAAUGAGAAAAGAGAAACGCGUGGUCAAUUAGUAUGUCUUCUCAUUCAGCUGUUUGUAAUCGUGGGUGAGUUCAACAUGUCAGGUUUACAUUUAUGCCUGCUCGAGUAAAUGCCAUUUCAACGUGUCCUGUGCUGUAGAGGUACCGUUUUCUCUGAAUAUAUUGAUGUCAAAGUCAUCAGAAAGCUGCAUGUUAAUUACUCGAGACCACUAUGGGGAGAAUUGCAUCAAGAUGAGGAAGGUACGGGUCUGCACUCUGCAGUGUAAAUGCGGUUUCAGAAGCCUGUAUUAUAAACUGUAAUACAUCUUACAUUUGGUAUGCCAACCUAAAUUUCCAAUUAA